rnacentral:rRNA from 1 species
GAUGAACGCUGGCGGCGUGCCUAAUACAUGCAAGUCGAGCGAACGGACGAGAAGCUUGCUUCUCUGAUGUUAGCGGCGGACGGGUGAGUAACACGUGGAUAACCUACCUAUAAGACUGGGAUAACUUCGGGAAACCGGAGCUAAUACCGGAUAAUAUUUUGAACCGCAUGGUUCAAAAGUGAAAGACGGUCUUGCUGUCACUUAUAGAUGGAUCCGCGCUGCAUUAGCUAGUUGGUAAGGUAACGGCUUACCAAGGCAACGAUGCAUAGCCGACCUGAGAGGGUGAUCGGCCACUCUGGAACUGAGACACGGUCCAGACUCCUACGGGAGGCAGCAGUAGGGAAUCUUCCGCAAUGGGCGAAAGCCUGACGGAGCAACGCCGCGUGAGUGAUGAAGGUCUUCGGAUCGUAAAACUCUGUUAUUAGGGAAGAACAUAUGUGUAAGUAACUGUGCACAUCUUGACGGUACCUAAUCAGAAAGCCACGGCUAACUACGUGCCAGCAGCCGCGGUAAUACGUAGGUGGCAAGCGUUAUCCGGAAUUAUUGGGCGUAAAGCGCGCGUAGGCGGUUUUUUAGUCUGAUGUGAAAGCCCACGGCUCAACCGUGGAGGGUCAUUGGAAACUGGAAAACUUGAGUGCAGAAGAGGAAAGUGGAAUUCCAUGUGUAGCGGUGAAAUGCGCAGAGAUAUGGAGGAACACCAGUGGCGAAGGCGACUUUCUGGUCUGUAACUGACGCUGAUGUGCGAAAGCGUGGGGAUCAAACAGGAUUAGAUACCCUGGUAGUCCACGCCGUAAACGAUGAGUGCUAAGUGUUAGGGGGUUUCCGCCCCUUAGUGCUGCAGCUAACGCAUUAAGCACUCCGCCUGGGGAGUACGACCGCAAGGUUGAAACUCAAAGGAAUUGGCGGGGACCCGCACAAGCGGUGGAGCAUGUGGUUUAAUUCGAAGCAACGCGAAGAACCUUACCAAAUCUUGACAUCCUUUGACAACUCUAGAGAUAGAGCCUUCCCCUUCGGGGGACAAAGUGACAGGUGGUGCAUGGUUGUCGUCAGCUCGUGUCGUGAGAUGUUGGGUUAAGUCCCGCAACGAGCGCAACCCUUAAGCUUAGUUGCCAUCAUUAAGUUGGGCACUCUAAGUUGGCUGCCGGUGACAAACCGGAGGAAGGUGGGGAUGACGUCAAAUCAUCAUGCCCCUUAUGAUUUGGGCUACACACGUGCUACAAUGGACAAUACAAAGGGCAGCGAAACCGCGAGGUCAAGCAAAUCCCAUAAAGUUGUUCUCAGUUCGGAUUGUAGUCUGCAACUCGACUACAUGAAGCUGGAAUCGCUAGUAAUCGUAGAUCAGCAUGCUACGGUGAAUACGUUCCCGGGUCU